GACGAACCGUGCGAACGUUGUUCGGAAUCACUGGGCUUAAAGGGCGCGUAGGCGGGCUGCCAAGUCUGGGGUGAAAUCCCUCGGCUUAACCGGGGAACUGCGUCUGAUACUGGAUGGCUUGAGUUUGGGAGAGGGAUGCGGAAUUCCAGGUGUAGCGGUGAAAAUGCGUAGAUAUCUGGAGGAACACCGGUGGCGAAGGCGGCAUCCUGGACCAACACUGACGCUGAGUGAGCGAAAAGCCAGGGGGAGCAAAACGGG
rnacentral:rRNA from 1 species